rnacentral:rRNA from 1 species
AGCGUUGUUCGGAAUUACUGGGCGUAAAGCGCGCGCAGGCGGUUUUCCAAGUCAGUGGUGAAAGCCCGGAGCUCAACUCCGGAACUGCCAUUGAAACUGUUAAACUUGAGGACGAGAGAGGUGAGUGGAAUUCCCAGUGUAG